GACGAACGCUGGCGGCGUGCCUAAUACAUGCAAGUAGGACGCAGUUGCGAACGGUUGAGUAACGCGUAGGUACCUACCUAUCAGCGGGGGAUAACUAUUGGAACCGAUAGCUCAUACCGCAUACUAGUAGAUGGACCUGCGUUGUAUUAGGUAGUAGGUAGGGUAAUGGCCUACCUAGGCAACGGUACAUAGCCGACUUGGGAGGGGGAUCGGCCACACCUGGAAUGGGACAAGGGCCCAGAUUCGACCGGAGGGAGCCGUAGGGGAAUUUUGGAAAAGGGGGGAACCCUGACCGAGCAAAGCCGCGGGAGUGAAGGAGGUUUUCGGGUCGUAAAGCUCUGUUGGUAAGGAAGCGGUACUUAACCAGGAAGGAACGGCUAACUACGUGCCAGCAGCCGCGGUAAUAC
rnacentral:rRNA from 1 species